UACGGGGGGGAGCAAGCGUUGUUCGGAUUUACUGGGCGUAAAGGGCGCGUAGGCGGCCACCGCAAGUCGACUGUGAAAUCUCCGGGCUUAACUCGGAAAGGUCAGCCGAUACUGCGGGGCUAGAGUGCAGAAGGGGCAACUGGAAUUCUCGGUGUAGCGGUGAAAUGCGUAGAUAUCGAGAGGAACACCUGCGGCGAAGGCGGGUUGCUGGGCUGACACUGACGCUGAGGAGCGAAAGCGUGGGGAGCGAACAGG
rnacentral:rRNA from 1 species